CCUACGGGCGGCAGCAGUAGGGAAUAUUGCUCAAUGGGGGAAACCCUGAAGCAGCAACGCAGCGUGGAGGAUGAAGGUUUUCGGAUUGUAAACUCCUUUUGUUAGAGAAGAUAAUGACGGUAUCUAACGAAUAAGCACCGGCUAACUCCGUGCCAGCAGCCGCGGUAAUACGGAGGGUGCAAGCGUUAGUCGGAAUCACUGGGCGGAAAGAGCGCGUAGGCGGGAUAGCAAGUCAGAUGUGAAAUCCUAUGGCUUAACCAUAGAACUGCAUUUGAAAAUGUUUUUCUAGAGUAUGGGAGAGGUAGGUGGAAUUCUUGGUGUAGGGGUAAAAUCCGUAGAGAUCAAGAGGAAUACUCAUUGCGAAGGCGACCUGCUAGAACAUAACUGACGCUGAUGCGCGAAAGCGUGGGGAGCAAACAGGAUUAGAUACCCCAGUAGUC
rnacentral:rRNA from 1 species